UAAGAGCCUAUUGAGAUUGGAAC
rnacentral:siRNA from 1 species